UAUUGCACAAUCCAAAUUUUCUUCAGCGCUUUCAGCAUGUAGCUUGCUAGCUCGAAGUUUGUCGUUUCCCGAAGCGAAGGGAUUCUGAGAACUGCAACACA